GUCUUUAGACGAUAAGCGGUGCAUCAUCAGUCGGAAUGUGACAUUCAAAGAGUCUGAGUGCUACAAGGAUUUACUAAAGAAGAAGGAUGUCACUAAGGAGAGGAAUGUUGCUUUUCUAGAUAUGGAACUUGGUAUUAGUGAACAGAGGGAUGUAAGUUCAGGUGGAGAUGGUCAGGCUAGAGCUGCAGGUGGUAACAUCGAG
rnacentral:lncRNA from 1 species